rnacentral:rRNA from 1 species
AUUGAACGCUGGCGGCAGGCCUAACACAUGCAAGUCGAGCGAGCGGCGGACGGGUGAGUAAUGUAUGGGGACUGCCCGAUAGAGGGGGAUAACUACUGGAAACGGUGGCUAAUACCGCAUACUAUCGGAUAAACCAUUGUGGCUUAGCUAGUAGGUAAGGUAAUGGCUUACCUAGGCGACGAUCCCUAGCUGGUCUGAGAGGAUGAUCAGCCACACUGGGGCUGAGACAUGGACCAGACUCCUCCGGAGGCGGCAGUGGGGAAUAUUGCACCAUGGGCGCAAGCCUUAUGCAGCCAUGCCGGGUGUAUGAAGAAGGCCCUAGGGAUGUAAAGUACUUUCAGUCGGGAGGCGUUACCGACAGAAGAAGCACCGGCUAACUCCGUGCCAGCAGCCGCGGUAAUUC